CAGUCGCCGCGGGAAUACGUAGGUCCCGAGCGUUGUCCGGAUUUAUUGGGCGUAAAGCGAGCGCAGGCAGUUAGAUAAGUCUGAAGUUAAAGGCUGUGGCUUAACCAUAGUAUGCUUUGGAAACUGUUUAACUUGAGUGCAAGAGGGGAGAAUGGAAUUCCAUGUGUAGCGGUGAAAUGCGUAGAUAUAUGGAGGAACACCGGUGGCGAAAGCGGCUCUCUGGCUUGUAACUGACGCUGAGGCUCGAAAGCGUGGGGCGCAAACAGGAUUAGAUACCCGCGUAGUCCCUGUCUCUUAUACC
rnacentral:rRNA from 1 species